UACGUAGGGUGCAAGCGUUAUCCGGAAUGAUUGGGCGUAAAGCGUCCGCAGGUGGCUGUGUAAGUCUGCUGUCAAAGAGCGAAGCUCAACUUCGUAAAGGCAGUGGAAACUACACGGCUAGAGUGCGUUCGGGGCAGAGGGAAUUCCUGGUGUAGCGGUGAAAUGCGUAGAGAUCAGGAAGAACACCGGUGGCGAAGGCGCUCUGCUAGGCCGCAACUGACACUGAGGGACGAAAGCUAGGGGAGCGAAUGGG
rnacentral:rRNA from 1 species